GAUGAAGAACGCAGCAAAAUGCGAUAAGUAGUGUGAAUUGCAGAAUUCAGUGAAUCAUCGAAUCUUUGAACGCACAUUGCGCCCCUUGGUAUCCCGAGGGGCAUGCCUGUUCGAGCGUCAUUUCACCACUCAAGCCUGGCUUGGUGUUGGGCGACGUCCCCUUUAGGGACGCGCCUCGAAACGCUCGGCGGCGCGGCACCGGCUUUAAGCGUAGCAGAAUCUUUCGCUUUGGAAGUCGGGGCCCCGCCUGCCGGAAUACCUACUUGUAAGGUUGACCUCGGAUCAGGCAGGGAUACCCGCUGAACUUAAGCAUAUCAUAAGCGGAGGA
rnacentral:misc_RNA from 1 species